rnacentral:lncRNA from 1 species
GUGACUAAAAAAUGAGGAUGACCUCAGGGUGAUAGGGAGCAUCUGGUUUCAGAUUAGCACCUUGGAAGUUGUUGUAGAGUGCCGGAAUCAGAAUUUUAAAAGAAUGACACAAGAUUCCCUUCUUCCUACUCUGCCCUAUCCUCUGUGGUGACGGUCGGUGGGUGAAAGGCAAGGCCCCACGGCUGUACGUUAGACCCAGCAUCAGGAGGAACGCUGGGGACCAGUGACAAGGGCAGGGGUAUGGUCAGCACAGCUGCCUCCCCUGGAGUCAUUAGCUGGGAUGCGGCUGGCAACAAACUGGACCACUCCUCAGCCCAGGUGUCCUGUCCCCAAGAGACAGCGGUGGGCACUCGCUUCCCAGGGACCAGGCUUUCCAUCUUCCCACCCAACGUCCCACCAUUUUCAAGGGUGAACUGAGAAUCGGAGGCUUUGGGAACCGUUCCUUUUACAUUAAAAACUGAAAUCAACAAGGG